CCUACGGGUGGCAGCAGUGGGGAAUAUUGGACAAUGGGCGAAAGCCUGAUCCAGCCAUGCCGCGUGUGUGAAGAAGGCCUUCGGGUUGUAAAGCACUUUCAGUGGGGAAGAAAGCCUUGGGGCUAAUACCCUCGAGGAAGGACAUCACCCACAGAAGAAGCACCGGCUAACUCCGUGCCAGCAGCCGCGGUAAUACGGAGGGUGCGAGCGUUAAUCGGAAUUACUGGGCGUAAAGCGCGCGUAGGCGGUCUGAUAAGCCGGUUGUGAAAGCCCCGGGCUCAACCUGGGAACGGCAUCCGGAACUGUCAGGCUAGAGUGCAGGAGAGGAAGGUAGAAUUCCCGGUGUAGCGGUGAAAUGCGUAGAGAUCGGGAGGAAUACCAGUGGCGAAGGCGGCCUUCUGGACUGACACUGACGCUGAGGUGCGAAAGCGUGGGUAGCAAACAGGAUUAGACACCCGAGUAGUC
rnacentral:rRNA from 1 species